rnacentral:tRNA from 1 species
AAGAUUUUAAGUUAAAAAAACUAAUAUCCUUCAAAGUUAUAAAUAAAGAAUUUAUCUCUUUAAGUCUUA